rnacentral:rRNA from 1 species
UACGGAGGGGGCUAGCGUUGUUCGGAAUUACUGGGCGUAAAGCGCACGUAGGCGGUUAUUUAAGUCAGAGGUGAAAGCCCGGGGCUCAACCCCGGAAUAGCCUUUGAGACUGGAUAGCUUGAAUCCAGGAGAGGUGAGUGGAAUUCCGAGUGUAGAGGUGAAAUUCGUAGAUAUUCGCAGGAACACCAGUGGCGAAGGCGGCUUACUGGUCCAUUACUGACGCUGAGGUGCGAAAGCGUGGGGAGCAAACAGG